rnacentral:rRNA from 1 species
AACGAACGCUGGCGGCAUGCCUAACACAUGCAAGUCGAACGAGACCUUCGGGUCUAGUGGCGCACGGGUGCGUAACGCGUGGGAACCUGCCCUUAGGUUCGGAAUAACUCCCCGAAAGGGGUGCUAAUACCGGAUAAUGUCUUCGGACCAAAGAUUUAUCGCCUUUGGAUGGGCCCGCGUUGGAUUAGCUAGUUGGUAGGGUAAAAGCCUACCAAGGCGACGAUCCAUAGCUGGUCUGAGAGGAUGAUCAGCCACACUGGGACUGAGACACGGCCCAGACUCCUACGGGAGGCAGCAGUGGUGAAUAUUGGACAAUGGGCGAAAGCCUGAUCCAGCAAUGCCGCGUGAGUGAUGAAGGACUUAUGGUUGUAAAGCUCUUUUACCCGAGAUGAUAAUGACGGUACCGGGAGAAUAAGCUCCGGCUAACUCCGUG